AUAAAAGGCUUUAGUCUAGGUUUUCAGCUCCAUAGUCCAAAUACGCAGUCUCCGUUGGCCAGGGAAUUUUCUUCCCAAAGCCAUCAUUGAUUCAUCGAGAGAAAUCAUUGCCUGAGGAGGAUCAACAGGAAACAAUAUUAAUUUCCGGAGACGGAAGACAAGAUGCCAUCGGCAGUGUUCUUGUUGUGGCUGCAAAGUUUGGAUAAGGCUAAGAAUGGCCUCCACUAAACGAGCUUGCUGAGCUUGAAAUGCUAAAAUCUAAGGGCCUCAACAUGAUGUCCAACCAAUAUGUUAAUUUCAAUAGAGAUUGAUGAAGCUGAGUUGACUUUUAAAAAAUUGGAAAUAUUUAUGCAGAUGUGGACGAGGGAAAAGUGUUGUGAUCGCAUGAGUUUAUUUGAUAAUGAUUUGAGGGAAUUCCUUGUUUUGCGGGAGCAACAGUCGUCCAAUUUACGUCCCAAAUGUUUCUAAUAUCAACUUCAACUCAGACAAAUAUGUGAUUUGAUUUGUCUGCAUUGAAUCAUUAUUAAAUUUACAUCUUUAUCUGAGUUGAUAAGAUGAUCCCUAAGACAUGUAUACUCCAUGAAAGAUUUCUCAAGAUGGUCUCCAUUGCAUCGGUGGCUUCAAAACAAGGGAUUUUCAUCAGUUCAUUUUGUAACUUGAUAUUGAAUGACUUGUGUUGAGAACGACAGUUUUCUUUUUCCAAAUUUGUAUUAAUAUUUGAUUUUUGAGAAGUUAACUCCAGCUCCAUCAAGCUCUCUUGCACUUUGAACGUGAAGAUAUGUUGAGUUCCUUAGUUUUUGUCA